rnacentral:rRNA from 1 species
CCAGACUCCUACGGGAGGCAGCAGUGGGGAAUAUUGCACAAUGGGGGGAACCCUGAUGCAGCAACGCCGCGUGGGUGAAGAAGUACUCCGGUAUGUAAAGCCCUGUCAGCAGGGAAGAAAAUGACGGUACCUGACCAAGAAGCCCCGGCUAACUCCGUGCCAGCAGCCGCGGUAAUACGGAGGGUGCGAGCGUUAAUCGGAAUUACUGGGCGUAAAGCGCUCGUAGGCGGUAUGUCAAGUCAAGGGUGAAAUCCCCGCGCUCAACGUGGGAACUGCCUUUGAAACUGGCAAACUGGAGUGUGUGAGAGGAUAGUGGAAUUCCAGGUGUAGGAGUGAAAUCCGUAGAUAUCUGGAGGAACAUCAGUGGCGAAGGCGACUAUCUGGCGCAUAACUGACGCUGAGGAGCGAAAGCGUGGGUAGCAAACAGGAUUAGAUACCCCUGUAUCC